ensembl:lncRNA
AAAGGAGGGAGGGAUGGAGUAUUGGCGGGAGGGAGGGAGGGUGUGUUGGAGGGAGUAUUGGAGGGAGGAAAGGAGGGUGGGAGGGAGUAUUGGAGGGAGGGACGGACGGAUGGAGUAUUGGAGGGAGGGAGGGACGGAUGGAGUAUUGGAGGGAGGGAGGGAGUAUUGGAGGGAGGGAGGGAUGGAGUAUUUGGAGUGAGGGAGGGAGUAUUGGAGGGAGGGAGGGAUUAUUGGAGUGAGGGAGGGAUGGAGUAUUGGAGGGAGGGAGGGAGGGAGGGAGGGAUGGAGUAUUGGAGGGAUGGAGUUUUGGAGUGAGUGAGGGAUGGAGUAUUGGAGGGAGUGAGGGAGGGAUGGAGUAUUGGAGUGAGGGAUGGAGUAUUGGAGGGAUGGAGUAUUGGAGGGAGGAAGGAAGGGUGGAGGGGAGGGGAGGGAGGGAAGAAUGCAAUGAAUGGUUUACAAAACCCUGGUGUCAGCACAGACACCUCUUUGUCCUUAUCAUUUGUCCUCCCAGGGGCUUAGAGGCGAGAGGAGAGGCGUAGAGGGGAGGGGAGAGGCGUAGAGGGGAGGGGAGAGGAGAGGUGUAGCGGGAACAGAAGAGUGCUAGAGGGAAGAGGAGAGGAAUAGAGGGGAGAGGAGAGGUAGAGGGAAGAGGGAAGAGGAGAGGAAUAGAGGGGAGAGGAGAGGUAGAGUGGUAGAGGGAAGAGGAGAGGCGUAGAGGGGAGAAGAGAGAUUUAGAGGGGAGAGGAGAGAUUUAGAGGGGAGAGGAGAGGGGAGAGGAGAGGUGUAGAGCGGAGAGGAGAGAUGUAGAGAGGAGAGGAGAGGUGUGUAGGGGGGCGGAGAGGUGUAGAGGGGAGAGGAGAGAUUUAGAGGGGAGAGGAGAGAUUUAGAGAGGAGAGGUGUAGAGGGGAGAGGAGAGGUGUAGAGAGGAGAGGUGUAGAGGGGAGAGGAGAGGUGUAGAGAGGAGAGGUGUAGAGGGGAGAGGAGAGGUGUAGAGGGGAGAAGAGAGAUUUAGAGGGGAGAGGAGAGAUUUAGAGGGGAGAGGAGAG